rnacentral:rRNA from 1 species
CUAGCCGUAAACGAUGGAUACUAGGCGUUGUGAGUAUCGACCCUCACAGUGUCGUAGCUAACGCGUUAAGUAUCCCGCCUGGGGAGUACGCGCGCAAGCGUGAAACUCAAAGGAAUUGACGGGGGCCCGCACAAGCGGUGGAGUAUGUGGUUUAAUUCGAUGCAACGCGAAGAACCUUACCAGGACUUGACAUGUCGCGAAUCUCAGGGAAACUUGAGAGUGCCUUCGGGAGCGUGAACACAGGUGGUGC